GAUGAACGCUGGCGGCGUGCCUAAUACAUGCAAGUCGAGCGAACAGAUGAGGAGCUUGCUCCUCUGACGUUAGCGGCGGACGGGUGAGUAACACGUGGAUAACCUACCUAUAAGACUGGGAUAACUUCGGGAAACCGGAGCUAAUACCGGAUAAUAUAUUGAACCGCAUGGUUCAAUAGUGAAAGACGGUUUUGCUGUCACUUAUAGAUGGAUCCGCGCCGCAUUAGCUAGUUGGUAAGGUAACGGCUUACCAAGGCAACGAUGCGUAGCCGACCUGAGAGGGUGAUCGGCCACACUGGAACGGAGACACGGUCCAGACUCCUACGGGAGGGAGCAGUAGGGAAUCUGAGGCAAUGGGCGAAAGCCUGACGGAGCAACGCCGCGUGAGUGAUGAAGGUCUUCGGAUCGUAAAACUCUGUUAUUAGGGAAGAACAAAUGUGUAAGUAACUAUGCACGUCUUGACGGUACCUAAUCAGAAAGCCACGGCUAACUACGUG
rnacentral:rRNA from 1 species